AACGCGAAGAACCUUACCUGGGCUUGAACUACGGAUGGUAAGUCCCUGGAAACAGGGGCUGACCCGCAAGGGAGUCCGCAGAGGUGCUGCAUGGUUGUCGUCAGCUCGUGUCGUGAGAUGUUGGGUUAAGUCCCGCAACGAGCGCAACCCCUAUUCGAUGUUGCUAAUCCCGCAAGGGAUGCACUCUUCGAAAACUGCCUUCGAUAAGAAGGAGGAAGGUGGGGACGACGUCAAAUCCUCAUGGCCCUUAUGUCCAGGGCUACACACGUGUUACAAUGGCCGGUACAAUGGGAAGCAAUGCCGCAAGGUGGAGCCAAACCCACAAAGCCGGCCCCAGUUCAGAUUGUGGGCUGCAACUCGCCCACAUGAAGGCGGAAUCGCUAGUAAUCGCUGAUCAGCAGGCAGCGGUGAAUACGUUCCCGGGCCUUGUA
rnacentral:rRNA from 2 species